UACGUAAGGGGCAAGCGUUGUCCGGAAUCAUUGGGCGUAAAGAGCGUGUAGGCGGCUCGAUAAGUCUGCUGUGAAAGUCCAGGGCUCAACCCUGGAAGGCCGGUGGAAACUGUCGGGCUAGAGUCCGGAAGAGGCGAGUGGAAUUCCCGGUGUAGCGGUGAAAUGCGCAGAUAUCGGGAGGAACACCAAUGGCGAAGGCAGCUCGCUGGGACGGUACUGACGCUGAGACGCGAAAGCGUGGGGAGCAAACAGG
rnacentral:rRNA from 1 species